rnacentral:misc_RNA from 1 species
CGCACAUUGCGCCCUCUGGUAUUCCGGGGGGCACGCCUGUUCGAGCGUCAUUGAAUCGAUCAAGCCCGGCUUGGUAUUGGGUGCUCCCGCUCCUCGUGGGACCCCCGAAAUGCAGCGGCUCGGUCGCCCGGGGAAGAACGCACUGGAGUCUCGCGACUAUCGUUCUCGCCUCUCGGGUGAUCGUUGCCGUCGAACGCGGUCCGGCAGCCGCCGGCCACAAUUUCAGAAAAUUGACCUCGGAUCAGGUGGGAAUACCCGCUGAACUUAA